rnacentral:rRNA from 1 species
GACGAACGCUGGCGGCGUGCCUAAUACAUGCAAGUAGAACGCUGAAGAGAGGAGCUUGCUCUUCUUGGAUGAGUUGCGAACGGGUGAGUAACGCGUAGGUAACCUGCCUUGUAGCGGGGGAUAACUAUUGGAAACGAUAGCUAAUACCGCAUAACAAUGGGUGACACAUGUCAUUUAUUUGAAAGGGGCAAUUGCUCCACUACAAGAUGGACCUGCGUUGUAUUAGCUAGUAGGUGAGGUAACGGCUCACCUAGGCGACGAUACAUAGCCGACCUGAGAGGGUGAUCGGCCACACUGGGACUGAGACACGGCCCAGACUCCUACGGGAGGCAGCAGUAGGGAAUCUUCGGCAAUGGGGGCAACCCUGACCGAGCAACGCCGCGUGAGUGAAGAAGGUUUUCGGAUCGUAAAGCUCUGUUGUAAGUCAAGAACGAGUGUGAGAGUGGAAAGUUCACGCUGUGACGGUAGCUUACCAGAAAGGGACGGCUAACUACGUGCCAGCAGCCGCGGUAAUACGUAGGUCCCGAGCGUUGUCCGGAUUUAUUGGGCGUAAAGCGAGCGCAGGCGGUUUGAUAAGUCUGAAGUUAAAGGCUGUGGCUCAACCAUAGUUCGCUUUGGAAACUGUCAAACUUGAGUGCAGAAGGGGAGAGUGGAAUUCCAUGUGUAGCGGUGAAAUGCGUAGAUAUAUGGAGGAACACCGGUGGCGAAAGCGGCUCUCUGGUCUGUAACUGACGCUGAGGCUCGAAAGCGUGGGGAGCGAACAGG